rnacentral:rRNA from 1 species
AUUGAACGCUGGCGGCAUGCCUUACACAUGCAAGUCGAACGGCAGCGGACCUUCGGGUGCCGGCGAGUGGCGAACGGGUGAGUAAUAUAUCGGAACGUACCUUUCAGUGGGGGAUAACGUAGCGAAAGUUACGCUAAUACCGCAUAUUCUGUGAGCAGGAAAGCAGGGGAUCGCAAGACCUUGCGCUGAUUGAGCGGCCGAUAUCAGAUUAGCUAGUUGGUGAGGUAAAAGCUCACCAAGGCGACGAUCUGUAGCGGGUCUGAGAGGAUGAUCCGCCACACUGGAACUGAGACACGGUCCAGACUCCUACGGGAGGCAGCAGUGGGGAAUUUUGGACAAUGGGCGCAAGCCUGAUCCAGCCAUGCCGCGUGAGUGAAGAAGGCCUCGGUUG